rnacentral:rRNA from 1 species
GACGAACGCUGGCGGCGUGCUUAACACAUGCAAGUCGAGCGGUAAGGCCCUUUCGGGGUACGACGAGCGGCGAACGGGUGAGUAACACGUGGGUGACCUGCCUUCAGCUCUGGGAUAAGCCUGGGAAACUGGGUCUAAUACCGGAUAUGACUCCAUGAUGCAUGUUGUGGGGUGGAAAGCUUUUGCGGCUGGAGAUGGGCCCGCGGCCUAUCAGCUUGUUGGUGGGGUGANGG